rnacentral:rRNA from 1 species
ACUUUCAACAACGGAUCUCUUGGUUCUCGCAUCGAUG